GAUCUAUAAACGUUGUUAAUAGGUUGACUAUCAAAAGCGUAAGUUUGUGGAUAUACCCAUAUACACAUACUCUUUGUUAGUAUAUGCAUCAUCUUCUUUUACUAAUCUGCAUGGAGUUCAGUCAUUAUGAUAGCCAUGGUUGCUUCGGAUCACAUAAAAAGCUACUUGGUAGAAUUGAUGGUUUUGAUGAAUUUUUGAUGUCAAGGAACCGCACAUUACCUCUGAUGUCUGUCCAUUCGCUAUCUAGACAUGUAAGUUACCUACCAGGGUUUUGUAUAUCACUGUUGUUAUUCUGAAAUUCAGGAGUUGAAGGCUUUUGCUGAUGUACCGUCGGUCGAGGGCAAGGCUAGGUUGAAACCUUGCCACUGUCAUCACCUCUCCUUCGGCUAUGAUGUCAUGCCGGGUGCGGUCUACUAAAUUGAGCGCAUCGCAGAAUCUUCGUUGGUUAUCAAUAUUGUGACCUAGGAACCCUGUUGCUGAAUUGAUUGACCUUAAUAUUUUGCAUGUGAUUGUUUGGAGAAACGUCUAGAGAUAAUGCGGAUGAGCUCCUAUUCCUAAAAUUAGAACCAAGGUUGCAUCUAUAAAAAUUGUCAUGCACCGUAAGUUUGUUUAUAGCCUCUUCAGUUAAGCUAUUUUGUUUUCUUGACAUGUGAUGUGUUACCCCCUGUCUGAUAGGUUACAUUGAUAUGUUUGUAAUUUCGUCUGGUUCCGGUAAUUAUGCUUAUGGUGUUAAUUGUCUUUGUUUUCUUAGCUUAUUAUAUAUAUUGUACAAAACAUUCCAUAAUGCAAAAGGCAAGGGCUGCUUCUUA